CAAUUACACGUUAAGCUGACAAUUUAAUUUUGUGUAAAACAAUACUGUGAUGUUGCUAAAUAGUGUCCUUAUUUUUUAAAUAUUCUAACAUCAUGAUGAUUUCAACAAAAACACAAACAAAUGAAACUGAAUGUUGACCACUUUGUGAAUGUCCAGCUGAAAGACCACACAAACUGAGGACGACCACAACGGCAAGCACCACAUGAUGCACCAGCUCAGCACCCUUCCCCUUCUCACUCCCCCUCCACUUCCCAGUCCCCCUCCCCUUCUCACUCCCCCUCCCCUUCUCACUCCCCCUCCCCUUCUCACUCCCCCUCAGCUUCCCAAUCCACCUCAGCUUCCCAAUCCACCUCAGCUUCCCAGGCCCCCUCAGCUUCCCAGGACCACUCCACUUUCCACUCCCCUUCUCAGCCAACCUCUCCUUCUCUUUGUGUGACCCCUUCUCCUCCUUCCCAUACCCCUUCUCCUUCUACUUCCAACUCACCUUCUCAGCCCCCCUCACCCUCUAUUGGCCUAACAUUUUCACCGCCCCCCUCGCCCUCUCAAUCAGACCCACCCUCUGAAAUUACAUCCCCAAUCCAACCUCCUUCCCCCAUCCAGCCUCCUUCCCCCAUCAAGCCUCCUUCCCCCAUCCAGCCUCCUUCCCCCAUCCAGCCUCCUUCCCCAAUCCCUCCUCCUUCCCCCAUCCAGCCGCCUUCCCCACCGAGUGAAUGGGCAGAGGAAGCCCCUGAAGCCAGUUCAGGGAGUCUUCAUGUUGCCGAGGAAAAUGUUGCAGUUGGAGUUCCUCCAAGUUUGGGAGCCAUUCUUUCCACCAUGCGCCAACACCUGCAAGGAUUGAUACAUUGUGUUGAUCAAUUGGAAAAAUUUUAUUGAUUUUGUUUAUUUUAUAAA